CAUUAUCUAAAGACAUACAUACUCAAUCAUCGAGCUAGUCGGUACUAAUUUCAAGAAAAUUUCGGUAGAGUUUUCUUUAAAAAUAGAUAUCCAGAAAAUUCUAAACCUGUUUACAAAACUUACAAUCAUAAAUACAUAUCCAAACCACCAAAAAAUCCAUCAUUCCAUACCUAAAAAUCAUCAUAACCAUGUAUAAUUAAUUAACUUUACAAAAGACGGAACACAAAAAAUACAAAUGGGUAGAAAAUAGAGAAACAACAUGUUGCAUAAGACCCAUUACUUUACAGCUUACACCAAGUAUCCUUCAAUGUAUACCUGAAAAUAUUUGAAAUAUAAAAAUUAUCGAAAUAUGUGAGUCAAAAUAAAACAACUGUAAAUUCGAAACAUAAGAACUAAAGAUGUAAACGAGCCAACACAGUUCGGACUCGAUUCGGGCUCGACUCGAAAAAAUACGAGCGAGACUCGGAUUCGUUAAUAAUAUGAUCCAAAUCUGAGUAUUAAAAAUAGUUCGAAUAAAAAUAUGAGUAGAAUCUGAGCAAGGUUAUACUCGACUCGUUUAAGAUUCAAACUACUCAAAUUUUUGAUUGUGAUUCGAUACAUACUCGGUUAAUAUAUAUUCGAUUAGAUGUUCGAUACAUUCUCUUAUAAUAUAUAAAAAUUUAAAUCAAAUUAGGAUAAUUAGUUAUUAUUUUGUUUUGUUUUUAAUUUUAAUUGUGAUUUUAUAUUUGUAAAGUGUAAUAAUAAAUAUAUUUUCUCAUUUUUAAGUAAAAUAACAAAUUCAAUUUAUAAUUAUAUUCCCUCCGUCCCAUAGUUAUAGGUUGAUUUUCCAUUUUGAGAUGUCCCAAUAUAUAGGCUACUUACUAUUUAUAAAAUUUAGUUGGUUCAUUAUUUUACUUUAAUGCCCUUAUAAUAAAUAUUCAACUAUUACUCUUUUUUUGAAGAAACAACCUUCAAUGUCAUUAUUUUUAUCACUACAUUUAAUGUUGUUGUAUUCUCAAUAAAAGAAUUCAACUUUUUAGGCUUUACUAGUUUAACAUAUUUUAUGUAUAAAAGGCAAUUGGACCAACAAUAAAUGAAGUUAAGAGUUUCAAUGUGAUAAGUAAGGAGUAAUUAAUUUAUUCAUUAAUUCUAUAUUAAGGGGUUAUAUGUGGAAAAUUUGUGUUAAAAAUUAACUUAAACUAAUUUUCUUAAACUAUGUGCCAAAAGAAAUCAGCCUAUAACUAUGGGACGGAGGGAGUAUUUGUUAUAAAACUAGUUAUUAUGUGGAGACUCGAAUUCGAACUUGAAUUUGAAGCUCGCGAAUAGUUUGAAUAAAUAUUCGAAUCGAGUCGGAUCGAAUUCGAGUACUAAAUAUUCGAGUCGAGUUGAAUCUGAGUAGAAUUAUUCAAAUAUAAUUCGAAUUCGAGCCGAAUUCGAGUACGAAUUUAUCGUUUCGAGUCGAAUUCGAGUAGCUCUCUGUUCGCUCUGGUUCGACUCGUUUACACCCUUAAUAAGAACCCUGAAUUAUAAAUGGCAUGUAAAAUAAAUAAUAAAUGGUUCAUGAAAACAAAGUACAAAACACAAAUUUCUCAGAUUCAACUUUAUUAGAGGAGACUACUCAAAAGAUUAUGUCUGUUAUUGGUGGCGUUGGCUUUGUCUCUUUCAUUAUUAAAUUCUGCCCACUAAAUCUUGUUUCACCCCUAAAUCAUGUGUUUGCCUAAUUUUAUUUUACUUUUGUUGUUUUGCUUCAAUCUGAUUUGAUUUUAUUGUCUACUUUUCUCUACAGGAGUCCAAAUUAGUUUUGAUGAUUUGUCUGUUGAUGAAAAGAACAAAUUUCAAAUAGUAGUGGAUUCUGGAGAGCUAAGCAGUUUGAUUGAGCCAUGGGAACCUUACCUUGGUUGCUGAAGCCUUCCGCUAGAACAAUAUAUAUCUCUGAGCCAAGAAGGAAUCCAACUUGUUCAACCUCUUGUGAAACAUGAAAUGACAGCAUCAGUGCAAAAGAAUAUGUUAUGGGGACUAGCAAUAGGAUCAGUCAUGCUUACCUUGAGUAUGUAUAUAUCUUCUAUUUUAGAUCAAGGUAGGCAUCCAGGAACCAUCUCUGAAGCUCUGUCUCACUGUUUGGAGGAAACAUACAUGCUCUCCAGCUUUCAGACACAUUGAUAGCUUGCAAUUUGGAUUGGGAACCUACUUUCCCUUGGGGGAAACGCAUUUAAUUUUCCUGCUUUGUGAUAUCAAGAGGCUGGUUCAGGCUGCAGAGAGGGAGUUAAAAAUAUUACCAACAUGGGAAUUCAUUUACUAAGUUUUAAAAACUCAAAACCAAGGUGUAAGGAAAAGGGUAAAAAGGACAAAUGGGACUCUCACAGUAUUAGUAUUUGGAGCCAAUCAAGUCCCUGAAUACAGCUCAAUCCAAUCAACCUAACAUAACAUAGCCAGCCAUCAAAUUAACAUAAAUUUUCUUUCUAAUCCAAGAACGGAUAAUGUGAUUCCCGGUUUAAUAAGUCAAGCUAAUCAAUCAUAGUCAUUACUCAUUAGGAGCCACAUGAAAGUGAGAGGAAUUCAGUAUUCGGAUGAAUUCAAUUCGAUACAUCAGAAAGGAAAGAACCAAUAAAAAAUAAAUUUAAAAAUUUCUCUACAAAAAUAGUUGUCAAGUAAUAGACUUAAUUCAAAGUUCAAAGCAUUUUUUAAGCAAGUGUAAUUAAAUAGAAUAUUAGAUAUAAAUAUAAUAUUAAUUUACUACUAUUGGGUAUAAGAACCCUAUGACAAUGGAAUAUAAUAAAAAAUAACAAAUGGAUUACAAUGAAAUAGAAAUAUUUUUUCUUCCAACCGCUCAUUUUCCAUUCUUUACUUCUUUCUUUUUCUUGUUUUUAACCUAAUCAAUGGUCUUGAGUUUUCAUUCCUAGACCCUAAUUUUAGAAGUCUUUGUAUUUUUCUUCUCAUUUGAAUCACCCAAUCUUUGUGUUUUUCACCCAAUCAAUGAAGCCUCUUUAUGUUCUUUCUUUAUAUUCUUUUGAACUCAAACUCCAUUAACAAACCUAUAUCAAAACUGUAGCACUCUUCUACAAACAAUUCUAGACAAACCAUAGGUGACAAAAUUUGAUAUCAUUAAAGGCAGGAAAAGCAAUAUUGAAGACCCAAAGAUGCUUGCGAAUGUGAAAGAUGGAAAACAUCAUACUCCUUUUGAUUAUACCCUUCCUCCGCCACCUCCAUUAGGUACUAACAGUUUUUGUAGUUUGGGCUCUCAUUUCUCAAGUCUAAUAAUUUUUUCUUCUUUAAGUCUUCUUUAUGAAUAGGAAAAGCAGAUGUUUCUUAAUUCUACCAUGUUUCCUCUAAAAACCAUCAGUUUAAUAAUUAAAUGAUGAUAUUUUUCGGACAGCCUGCUACAACUGUUAGGGACUAAUUUCAAUGCAUAUAUGAAAGACUUUUAUUUGGGUUUGGUUGGGCCUGUAUUGGAAACUUAAAUAAACAAAAAAGCACUUGCUUGAACAAUAACUUGACAUACUGUUGUUGGAAGGAAGGUUGAUACUGUGAAGUGGGUUUAUUAGGGUUGAAAAGAGUAGCUUGAUAAGGUAGGCAUAGUAACUAUAUAAGGAUAAAGAAGAGAGGAAAAAAAUUCAGGGAUUGCACCUAGUAAAAUUGGAUGGGCUUUGAAGCUGUUUAAAAUAAAACUCUCGUUGAAUUUAAACAUUAUAUUAUUGAAAUGUUUCUUCAAAAAUCAAUUUGAAGAUUACCAGAGCUUGAACUCUAAUUAGUUUUUUACUGCUUUAAUAGCCUUAACAAAAAUGUUGGCCUUACAACCUAAAUGCUUUUUUGUGACCUUAUUCAUUUUACAUAAUUGCAAUUUUUUCCUCUUUUCCUCUUUUAUUGUAUUUAAUCCUUUCCCUAUUACUAUGUUCAAAAUUGUCCAAAUUCUACAAAUUUAUAUUUUCUAUAAACUCUUCUUCUUUGUACUUUUGUUUCACCUUUACAUUUAUUUGGGAAAUUUUUAUUAUGAUGCUAGAAGAACUAAAACCCUAAAAUACAGAUAGCUAUGGAAAACUACUAUGUGGUAUGGUAGAAGUGUGGUUCCACCAUUCCUUUCUCGUGCUUUUUCUUUUUCUUUAGAAUGAAAGGAAUCAUAAGCGACUUCGAAGACUAACAAAUGACAGAGAGGGUUCAAUUAUUGAGCAUUAAUUAAGUGCAAGUAAUACAAUAUUAAUAAAACGCAUAUAAAGAGCUUUACCCAGUCAUGUGAGAGGCUUUGUUUCUCUGUUCUGCUUUUCAAAUUUAUCUCUAUUACUAAAAUCAGUCAUAAGGGUAUCAUGUAUAUUUGUAGACUUUUUUAGAAAUGGGACUGGACUCCCAUUUUGGAAAAGUGAUUAGAAAUGGGAAUUUGUGAAUCACUUUGUAAAUGUUUUCUUUUUCAUAAAAGUUAGUUUGUUUUUGUUUUUUGUUUUUCUUUUCUUGGUCACCCGGCGCCCAAUAUUUUUAUAUUUAGUUAUUAUGUGUAAGUUUUUGAACUCUUUUUGUCCCAUAGGAGCUGCACAGAAGGCGUUUGCAACUAAAAGCAAAACCAAAGACUAAAAAGACAUCAGAAGGUUUGUUGACUAAUUUAUUGUAAAUUGAUUUUCGCACGAUGUUUUGUAUAAGCUAUUGAACAUCGUAGGGAUGGUUGACGGGUCUGGAAAAUCUCGAGGGCAAGUACAAAUGAAGGUGGAAGUGAAGUAGUUGAGGAUUUUAGUGUUUACAUCUCAACAUGCAGCAAUAUGAGGGAUGACUCCCUGCAGCAAAAUAAUAUACCAAAAGAGAUGGCAUUAAAAAAGCAGCAGAAGCUACACUGGGGUAACAAUUUCCUUUAAAUUAUUGACAACUUAACUUUUUAAACUAUAAACCUCGCAAUAAAAGUAGUUUAUUAAUGUUUCGAUUGUCUUAUUUUCUCGCUUCAAAUUAAUCAUAUUCUAGCGUUUGGUUUUAUAAUUCCACAAAGGAAAGAUGGGAGAGGAAAUCCAACAUGUAACAUGUAUCUCCUCUUAAGUGGUAGUAAUGCAGCUUUAAUUGGCAGUCACUUUUCGGGCACAUUGAAACUCACUUCUAAAGACUUUUUAGUCAGGACUAAAGUUUCAAGCUUUCGUUUGUACUUUUUCUCAAACUGUACAAAUUAAACCAAGAAUACUAAUAACCUAGAUCACAAAUCAAAUAAGUAACACAAUGUAUUUGCAGAAACAUUUUCAAAAAGAUACAAAGUAAUAUUUACCCCAUAUCAUCAGCCAGAGGCCCAGGAUGCAUCCAUAUUUAUUCGCAGCACUACAUAAACCUGAAAUGCAUUCAAAAAGUUAAAUUGCAGUUCCUCAGUAUGUGAAUAAAGCACUAUCAGGCCUAAAGGUACCCAAAACACUACAUCAGAUAACAGGACCGACUUAACUGUCAUUCAUUGUUCAAACUGUAAUAAAUCUUUUAAACAUGACUGACUUAACUUUUAUUCAUAGUUCAAACUGUAAUAAAUCCUUCACUUGAAAAAUGAAGAAGAAUAUAAAAAAAAACAAUAAGUUGCGAACCAAAUCCAUUCACUCAUUUUACUUGAAAAAAAAGUAAUACCUCAAAAAAUUAAAAGAGCAGAACAAUCUAAAACCUUCAACUUUCAAUAGGAACCCCUAAAACAAAGCACACAGUGGUUAAGAAAUCUUGAAUCUGACCCUCUCCCAACCCAACCUGCCUAUUUACUACUGGCAUAAAGUUAAAAUUAGAUUAUCAUUAAGAAUGGAGUAGGAGGGGCGGUUGAUGAAAAUUUGAAAACAGUUGAUAUUUGAGUUAUGUGAAUUCUGCAGGAUUGUGGAUGCUGCUGAAACAUGAAGAAGGUUAGGAAGAUGAAGACUUGGAAACUUAGCCAUGAAGACUUUCACAUUAGCCAUAGUUACAUAGUCACAAAUGGGUUAGAAACUUGAAAACUUAUAAUAUACCCAAUGUUCUAUAGCCUAAGCCUUCAGACAUGGUUGUCUUACAACCAGGUAUCAAAUUAUCAGUAAUUUUUCAGACUUUUCGUUGCUUAUAAUUUUAGUUUUUAGUUACAUUGGCAUGAUUUUACUUAACAUACCUAAUAUUAAAAAUGAAAAGUUACUUAACAUACCUAAUUAAAAAUGAAAACAACUUAUAUAUAAUACAUACAUACAUUGACGACUCAAAUAUAGGAGUUAUAAACUUUAGAUAUAAACUUUAGAUAAUGGGUUGACUGAUUCCCAGAUUCUUUUUGUAUCAUCAUCUAGAUAAAGUAUCUGAAUUGCGUUUGCACAUGCUUGAAACUUUCCAUGUUCAUCCUGCACUUUGAUAUUGGAAGACUUCUGGAAUGCAAUAAAAAUUAUUUUAAUUUGCUAGUCAAACAUACAUAAGACCUAGUUGUUAUUGAUGCAAGAAAAAUCUACUACAACUAACAACCGCGGUGCGAUGCAUUGAAAUAAAAAUACUUUUAAAUUAAUUAUAAAAAUAUUUUAAUACCCUGUAAAAUAGUUGUAAAAGAUGCAGGUCUACACCACACAUUUUGGUAUAUAUUAUGUAACCAUGCUACUUCUGAAAUUACUUUCGUAAAAAUUUCUAAUCUAAAAAUAUUUUAUCUGAUCAUACUACAGUGCACCGCUCCGUCAAACAGACACUUAGCAAUAUAAGUAGUAGAACGGUUAACACUUCAUAUGAGAUAUGAGUGUGUAUUAAUUAACUUAAUUGAAUUUCUUUUAUAGUUCUUUCUAGGAACCAGUAUCACCAAUUUCUUUUAUAGUUCUUUUCUUAAUAGCUACUCCACGCACCAACACCAUUAAGUUUGUGUUCCACACCAUUGAGUUUGUGUUCCACACCAUUUUGUAUGUGUGCCACACCAAUACUUGGACACUUGGUGCAGAACGUUUAACCCAUUGAGUUUGUGUGCCACUAUUGAAUCCAAUUAGUGCAGAAAGUUUAACACAUUGAGUUUGUGUUAAUAUAAUUAUGUAUUUUUUUUGGGUGAGAUUUUCAGUUAGUUUAUGUAAUUAAAGUCUAUAAUAUAUCCAAGUCUCUUGGAUUAUAUUCUUUUUAUUCGGAAAAACCGAAUUAACUUCUAUUGGCAUAACAUUAUGAUGGACUAAAAACACUUUAAAUUCAAAAACUAUGUUUGAGAGUGAUAUGUGACAUAACCAAAGUACUAUCAAUAUCUUAUCUAAAUGAGGUGCUUUAAAAAUUAUUUAUCAAAUAAUAUAUUUUACUUUUGAAUAAAUUAAACCACAGUCUGAUAAUUGCUCAAAUAAUUAUGCAGUCAAGUGCAAAAAAUAAUUUGGGGCAGGGGCAGUGAGAGCUUGUUCGCUGAUUUUGCUCAGAGCUUAAGAAAAUUGUUCUAGUUAGGGGAAGUGUUUGCCAGAUCUUCCGGAGAACCAACCCAUUGUGUCCUCAUUGUAAAAAAUAAUAAAGGAAAAAUAGUCUGUAUGAAAGCAAAAAAACUCAAUAAUUGGAAAUGUUGAAUUAGUUUGUUUUACAAUUUUGAAAAAACUUAAAUUUCUAGUAAUAUAUACAACACAGUAAAUGUGUUAAAAGUUUGCAUCUUGGGUUUGAUUUAUUUACCUAGCUAGCACGGUUCAUAAUUUUAAUGAAACAUUAAUGCAAAGGGCCAAACAAACAAAUACAGAAUUACGGCCGGACAAGUAAGCCAAAAAGAAGAGGUAGGCACAAAAUCCCAAAUACAUCCAUGAUGUGGGAACAACAACCCAAAAACUUCCAUGAUGUGGGUUUCUCUGUUAUUGGGGUUUCUAAAACCCCAAGAAAUUCUCAAACAUCAAUGCUCAAUAUUGAACCCUCUGUUCUUCAAAUACCCACUAAAAUACCUCAAAAUUAAGACUAUUCCAAAAGUUUUGUAGUAUAAUAUUCGAAAGAAAAAACAAAAGGCUACCUUGGGGGAAUUAGGCGGAAAGAUAGAUGCAGAAGAGGAGGGGUCCGUAAGAUCUGAAGGCGCUUUCCUUGAGCUGAAACUUCCAAGCCUUGUGAUUUAUGCUUUGGAUCGUAUAUUAGGGGCUGAGUAUGAGAUUUAGGGUUGGGAGGGAUGGAGUUAUUUGGGGGAAUGAGAACAGAGAGCUGAGAGGGGAGUUGAGAGGGAUGGAGUUAUUUGGGGGGGAAUGAGAACAGAGAGAGAGACAGAGGGUUUGAAAUUUGAACAAGAGAGCUGCUGACGUACAACAUUG
rnacentral:lncRNA from 1 species